GGCAGAUUCUCCACUUUGAUCCGUUCUGUGUGCAGUGCCCUACCCAGCAAGGUACUGAUCGCUUAGACGAGGUAUGAUCAGUGCCUGUCUGGGUGGAGUAAUGCUCAACAAGAACAACAUUUGGGAGGUUAGUCAGACUGGUGCU
ensembl:miRNA